rnacentral:lncRNA from 1 species
GUUUCCCCCAGAUUUUCGAUAUUUCACCCGAAUUCCCCACAUUUCCCCCAAAUUAUCCCAGAUUUCACCCAAAUUCUCCACAAUCCCCCCAAAUUUUCAGUAUUUUCCCCAAAUCUGGCACAUUUUACCCAAAUUUCAGAUGCUUUCCCCCAAAUAUCCCAGGGUUUCCCCAAAUUUCCCGUAUUUGCCCCCAAAAUUCCCACAUUUCACCCGAAUUUCCCACAUUUCUCCCCAAAAUCUUCACAUUUCACCCAAAUUUCCCAUAUUUCUCCCCAAAUUUUCCAUACCCCGAUUUUCUUUCGAAAUUUGCGCCCAAUUUUCCCCUAUUUCUCCCCCAAAUUUCCCCAUAUUUCACCCAAAUAUCCCAUAUUUUCCUCCGAAUUUCCACUUUUCACCCAGAUUUCCCAUAAUUCUCCCAAAAUUUCCUAGAUUUUCCCCAAAAUUUCCAUAUUUUGUCCCAAAUUCCCACAUUUCACCCGAGUUUCCCACAUUUUCCCCCAAAUUAUCCCAGAUUUCACCAAAAUUUCCCCCAAAAUUCCAAUUUUCCCCCAAUUUUUCCACAUUUACCACAAGAUUUCCCCAAUUUUGCCCAAAAUUUCCCUUUUUUCUCCCCAAAUUUCCACAUUUUCCCCCAAUUUUGCCCCAAAUUUUCCCCCAAUUUUCCCCCAAAUUCCCAUUUACCCCAAAAUUCUCCAUAAUUUCCACAAAUUUUUCUCAUUUUUGCCCCCAAAUUGCCCAAAUUUCCCCCAAAAUUCUGCACUUUCCCCCCCAAAUUUCCCAUUUUUGCCCCAAAUUCCCCAAAUUUCCCCCCCAAAUUUCCCCCAAACAUCCCCAAUUUUGCCCAUAAUUCCCCAAUUUUGCCCAUUUUUUUCCAUUUUCUCCCCCAAAUUUCCACGUUUUGCCCAAUUUUUCCAUAUUUUCCUCCAAAUUUCCAUUAUUCACCCCAAAAUCUCCAAAUUUCCCCCAAUUUCUUUCCAUUUUUGCCCACAAAUGGCCCAAUUUUCCCCCAAAUUCUGCACA